rnacentral:rRNA from 1 species
AUUGAACGCUGGCGGCAUGCCUUACACAUGCAAGUUGAACGGCAGCACGGGAGCUUGCUCCUGGUGGCGAGUGGCGAACGGGUGAGUAAUGCAUCGGAACGUGCCCUGAAGUGGGGGAUAACGUAGCGAAAGUUACGCUAAUACCGCAUAUUCUGUGAGCAGGAAAGCAGGGGGAUCUUCGGACCUUGCGCUUUUGGAGCGGCCGAUGUCGGAUUAGCUAGUUGGUGGGGUAAAGGCCCACCAAGGCGACGAUCCGUAGCGGGUCUGAGAGGAUGAUCCGCCACACUGGAACUGAGACACGGUCCAGACUCCUACGGGAGGCAGCAGUGGGGAAUUUUGGACAAUGGGCGCAAGCCUGAUCCAGCCAUGCCGCGUGAGUGAAGAAGGCCUUCGGGUU